UACGUAGGGUGCAAGCGUUGUCCGGAAUUAUUGGGCGUAAAGAGCUCGUAGGCGGUUCGUCGCGUCUGCUGUGAAAACUCGGGGCUUAACCCCGGGCCUGCAGUGGGUACGGGCAGACUAGAGUGCGGUAGGGGAGACUGGAAUUCCUGGUGUAGCGGUGAAAUGCGCAGAUAUCAGGAGGAACACCAAUGGCGAAGGCAGCUCGCUGGAACGGUACUGACGCUGAGGCGCGAAAGCGUGGGGAGCAAACAGG
rnacentral:rRNA from 1 species